rnacentral:tRNA from 1 species
GCCGAAGUGGUGGAAUUGGUAGACGCGCUGGACUCAAAAUCCAGUGGGGGCAACCCCGUGACGGUUCGAGUCCGUCCUUCGGCACCA